AAGAAAUAAUAAUCCCUUUAAUGUCGGGAUUGAGAUUCCAACAAACUAUUUUUCCAUAAAUAAAGAAUAAACAAACCAUAAAUUAUCCCUAAUUUAGACUUAAUGGAAAGUAUUUUACUAUGCAUUUGCAUGUAUUUGGGAAAUUCUCUCAUCUACCAGUACAGUAACAUCUCAACUAAUUGUUAUGCUCGACUAUUUCAUUUAUUUGAUAUGGUUCAGGAAUGACAUUUCUAACUUGGUUGGGCAUUUAAAUUGAUGGGGUCAAUUAAUACAAGCUGUCAAUUGCUUCUGUCCUAUAAUCCUUUGUCUUGUUGCAAUCCUUUCAUCAUUCAUGUGGCUCAAUCUGUAAUGUCCUCUAUGAGAAUUGCUCACCUAGAUUAUUCUCAUAAUUACUUACAUUGCCUGAAAAGAGGUUCAUCUGGCAAGAAAAGUUAUUUUCUUUUACCUUUUAACUAUUGUUUUGGUCUGCAAACACGCUUGUACAUUCUGAUAUGCAUAUUCAUGAAAAUAUAUAUAUAUAUAUUCUUGAUCAGUAUAUGUGCAGAAUAUUAAUGAGGCUUUAUAAAAUAGGCUUUAUUGUUUUAAAUUUCUCCUUUAUCAAGCAUGUCCUGGAUGAUAUCUGAUUUCUUUUCUUGCCAUGAAGCAGU
rnacentral:misc_RNA from 1 species